CCUACGGGAGGCAGCAGUGGGGAAUUUUGGACAAUGGGCGCAAGCCUGAUCCAGCAAUGCCGCGUGAGUGAAGAAGGCCUUCGGGUUGUAAAGCUCUUUUGUCAGGGAAGAAACGGUGAGGGCUAAUAUCCUUUGCUAAUGACGGUACCUGAAGAAUAAGCACCGGCUAACUACGUGCCAGCAGCCGCGGUAAUACGUAGGGUGCAAGCGUUAAUCGGAAUUACUGGGCGUAAAGCGUGCGCAGGCGGUUUUGUAAGUCUGUCGUGAAAUCCCCGGGCUCAACCUGGGAAUUGCGAUGGAGACUGCAAGGCUAGAAUCUGGCAGAGGGGGGUAGAAUUCCACGUGUAGCAGUGAAAUGCGUAGAGAUGUGGAGGAACACCGAUGGCGAAGGCAGCCCCCUGGGUCAAGAUUGACGCUCAUGCACGAAAGCGUGGGGAGCAAAACGAGGAUUAGACUACCCGUGGUAGUCCACGCCCUAAACGAUGUCUACUAGUUGUCGGUUUUAAUUAACUUGGUAACGCAGCUACGCGUGAGUAGACCGCCGUCGGGAGGUACGGUCGCGAAGUAAGUAAACGUUACUUAAGUAGUUAAGUUAGUACGGCGUUGAGACGUUGCGACGGACGACGACGAGGGAGGAGG
rnacentral:rRNA from 1 species